GACGAACGCUGGCGGCGUGCUUAACACAUGACAAGUCGAGCGGUAAGGCCCGUUUCGGGGUACGACGAGCGGCGAACGGGUGAGUAACACGUGGGUGACCUGCCCUCAGCUCUGGGAUAAGCCUGGGAAACGUGGGUCUAAUACUGGAUAUGACUCCACGGUGCAUGUCGGUGGGGUGGAAAGCCUUGUGCGGCUGAGGAUGGGCCCGCGGCCUAUCAGCUUGUUGGU
rnacentral:rRNA from 1 species